GAUGAACGCUGGCGGCGUGCUUAACACAUGCAAGUCGAACGAAGAAGCCCAGCUCGCUGGGUGGUUUAGUGGCCAACGGGUGAGUAACACGUGAGUAACCUGCCCUUAACUCUGGGAUAAGCCUGGGCAACUGGCCCUAAUACCGGACAGGAGCGUCCACCGCCUGGUGGGUGUUGGAAAGAUUUAUCGGUUUUGGGUCGACUCGCGGGCUAUCAGCUUCUUGGUGAGGUAUUGGCUAACCAAGGCGACGACGGGUAGCCGACCUGAGAAGGUGACCGGCCUCACUGCGACUGAGAAACGGCCCAGACUCCUACGGGAGGCAACGGUGGAGAAUAUUACACAAUGAGCGCAAGCCUGAUGCAGCGACGCCGCGUGAGGGAUGACGGCUUUCGGGUUGUAAACCUCUUUCAGUGGGAAAGAAGCGAAAGUGACGGUACCUACAGAAGAAGCAACGGCUAACUACGUG
rnacentral:rRNA from 1 species